UCUCCAAGAAACACUUGAAAAGCAAGCACAUUCAAUCAAAUUUGAAAAAUGGCCAACAAGCUUGUCGCAGUGUUUCUCAUGUGCAUCGUCCUCGCCGGAGCGAUGCACAUGCGCGAGGCCGAGGCCGCCGACGAGACGUUCAAGUCGUGCUUCACCGCCUGCCACGAUGGGUGCAAGGCCGAGGGCCACGGCUUCACCUUCUGCGAGGUCAAGUGCGACACCGAGUGCAGCGAAAAGGAAAUCGCGGCGAAACUAAAUUUGCAUUUAUAAGCGGCCUAGACUUGUGCAAGUCCUUCAAGGGGGAACAACAAGGGAGAGUAGUGAUGUAAUAAAUCAGAGGAUUUGAAUUUUCAUUCUUCUGAUUCCAUCACCAUCAUGCUCUUGAAGAACUUCUAAUAAA